rnacentral:rRNA from 1 species
GACGAACUGUGCAAACGUUAUUCGGAAUCACUGGGCUUGAAGAGUGCGUAGGCGGUUUCGUAAGUAGGGUGUGAAAGCCCCCAGCUCAACUGGGGAACUGCGUCCCAAACUGCGAGGCUGGAGUGAGGUAGGGGUGUGUGGAACUUCCGGUGGAGCGGUGAAAUGUGUUGAUAUCGGAAGGAACGCCGGUGGCGAAAGCGACACACUGGGCCUUGUCUGACGCUGAGGCACGAAAGCCAGGGGAGCAAACGGG